AAAGAGAAAGUGUUUGAAUUCAAGGAUUUGAUCAAGCAAAGGCUCAGGAAAUUUCAUAGUUAGUUGACUUUAACAAGGACCUUCAUUUGGACUUAAAUCGGCAAAAGCUCUAUGGUGGCCAUGGGUGUGAGAAAAUUAUGAAUUUUGCUGGGUGAAAUCCAAGCUAAAACCAAGUGGAAGUACAAAAGUAAAGAUAGUAGAUUGUGGUGGCGUGUUGGAGGAAAUAACGAGCGACCGGCAAAUAGAAAUAGCUAGAUACGCCUCCGAACUAAUAGCGAUGUAAUAUCUCGCUAUCGUAAGUAAGUUGGGAUCUAGAUUGAAGUGUCCAUUUGUAUUUGCCAUUUGGUAGGUACCAUGGCAUCUUGCAGCGGCACCUAUGCCCAGAGUCACUCCGCUGAUAGUCAAGGUCUCUUGUCAAUGUAUAUAUUUACUGAAAUGUAAAUUAUAAGAUUGUUAUGCACUCUGUAUGUUGAUUGAUUAUCCCUGUCAGUUAGGGUUGAAGAAUGAUAACCCUAUUUUGGGGAUGUUAUAUAUAUAUACUUGGUUCUCACGGUCUAAUUUCGAAAGAACUUUCAUUGGAAAUUUUGAGUAAUAGAUCAUAAAGAAAGAGAGGCUUGCUUGGGCCUGGUGGGCUAUGCCUAUUGGGCCUUUGCGCCGG